UGCUCAAAAUAGAGAUUUAAAAUACUAAAAAAUAUAAAAAAAAAAUUACAGAACUUAUCUGAACUAUAAAUUAUUUUGAAUUUGCUAUCCAUUUAAUUUGUUCGAUUUGAUUCGAUUAAACGAUACUUUGACUGCAAAAUUUGAAUGCGUCGUUCAGCUUAAUUUACAGGUUUGGUGAGUUUUCAUACAAUUCUCACAACUAUUAACAAAUUAAAGUAAAGUAAUUUGAUUAAAUUUAAAAGUCAAAAUACCGCUGGUCGACUGACUCAAAUCAAACAAAUUGAAAGAUUAGACAGUAAAAUCAAAAUUUUGAUAGAUUUGAUAGCCGAUUCAAAAUGGUUCACAAUUCGCAUUUGAAAAUAUGGCAUAGACACAUCAAACUCUAUAUUCUCGGGUCACUUCCUAUCAGAUCAAUUAGGUGCUACAAAUACAUGUAUUUCUGAGCUCGUUUUCAAUAUAAGAUUCAAUCUUUUAGGUAUAACACCGUCGACUAGUCCAUGUAUAUCUGUAUUGGUUCUACAGAAAUCGCCGAACAAGAUAUUGUUGCGUGUCUUACGAAAAGAUGAAAUCAUCAACAGGAGGAGGAAGAGGAAGAUGGCACACAUGGUCUCCUUCUUGUAAAUCUCCAUUAUUGAUCUCAAGAGAGAGAGAGAGAGAGAGAGAGAGAGAGAGAGAGAGAGAGAGAACUUGGUUAAAUGUAUUGAUGUGGUUUAUAUAUAAGGGGAAAAGGAAAAAAUGUGUAUUUAGAAAAGGGGGAGAGAGAGAGAGAGAGGAGAGAGAGAAAAGGUGGUGGAACAAGAGUCAUGUGUGUACUGUGUAGCUAUGUGCAUUUAUUAGUAACUGAAAAAAAGGACCUUGACCAAUGAAAUUUGAAAUUGAGUAACGGCUAUUUAUUACGGUGAAUAAUUUAACGUCUUCUAAAGACUAUGAACGAUUUACCGUGUUUCUUAUUUUUAUCCACCAUAAUACUGAGUUGGCAAAAAAAAGAUUAAUUAGCCAAAUAAAAUUUUGAAAAAAUUACUUGUCAAAUUAAAAAAUUUAUACGAUUAAAAAAGCCUGAUUUUUUUAUUACAAGUACACCAAAAAGGAAUCAAAAUACAGAAUAACUAAAACUCAAUUGGAUAUAUAUACCUACUUCUUUAUUUUGAGAAACAUUACGAAAAAAUAAAUUUCUGUUUCUUCUAAGAGCUUAUUUGAUAUUGAGAUCUAUCUGUCGCUAGUAUAUAGGCAAAAUGAAAUUGGGUGGAAAGUAUAUAAUUAAGAAUAUGCUUCUCUGAUUCUCGAUGAGACCUUGAUAUUAUAUA
rnacentral:lncRNA from 1 species